UGCAAGAUGGAGCCGAGCCCAACGAGGGGACGGGUCCCACUACAAACCCGCCGAGAGGAGGCGGCAAGAUCCCCUUAUCCACAGGGCGGCUCAGGCGCAUUAGCCCCCUUGCUGGUCCGGGCAGCCGGAGCUCCGAGGGACUGAGAGACCCGGCGCCCGCUUCCGCUCCAGCCCCCAGGUGACUGACAUUUGCAAAACAGAAGGACGAUUGCUUCGGAGGCGAAGUCAUUGGCUGAGACAUCCAAUCAGGCGGCCGGGGUGUGUGGAAGGGUGUCGCCUGUCCAAUCGCGGGGCCUGUGUGGGUGUUGCUAGGAGAUAGCGUGAUGUGAUGACUGUAUUAAGGGGACGGCUCUGUUUAGGAAAUAGAGCCGCUUGUGAUGCAAGAAGCGUCUGUGAAUUGCGAUUUAUUUCAGGCCAUUCACCUCGGCAGAGUGUGAUCGCUGGAGGUUAUUACAGGUCAAACCUCACAACACAGACGCGGGGGCAGUGAAAUAUGCUCCAGGGAUAGCGUCGUCCCCCUCGCCCCAGUAUACAGCCAGGAAAGGCUCUGAUCAGCACCCCCAAUGAGGAGAAGAGCAGAGUGAGGGAGAGACCUAAAGCCUCCACACAGCAGAGCCCAGAGCGCCUGUUACUCCUUGAAAAUUAUCCUCCUUUUCCUCACUGCAGGGACGAGGCUGGUGUGACUAGCUACUUUGGCUCUCACUGAGCCCUGUGUCAUGGCUAGGAGCUUGUUAAUUCUUGUGCCCUUUUGAUAGUCUGUUAGUAUUGAGAGCCACUGAGCUCCUGCUACCUUGGGCAAUCUGGCUCCCAUGAGCACCUGAUGGGUGCCUGCUGCAAGCAGGUGCUCUGAGCACUGUGCCAGAUUGGUCUCAUUCCCUUCCACUUGCCUCACCCUCCUGCCACCUCUCCCAAAAUCAAUAUAGGCUGUAACUCCCCCUGCCACCCACUUCCUUCCAACCUGCUCCUAACUCUUGAUCCAAACCGGGAGUCAGGGAGCACAGCAGAGGGACUGAGGGAGCCAAGGUGGUUGUUUCUGGGUCUAGGGCUCCCACUAUAACUCCUUUCCUAGCUUCAAGCUCUGAAAAUGAAGGUUUACGUGUAACCAGAAUUUUUUUAGAUGGACUCUGCAUAUUCAUGAUCAUGGGAUGCACUGCCAGUGCUGUCCAAAGGGUGUACUGUCUCCGAGCAGUGCCCCUUAAGAGUGGUCACAGGCCCCUCCUAUCUCUCUCCUUAGACUUCCUGAGCAUCCUGAACAUGAGAGUAACAGAUUACCAACCUCAAGACAUCAAAAAUCAUAUGAGAGUCCCUAAAUUCACGAUUGAAAAAAUAUUGGUGUUGGUCUUUUUGAUUUUUGGACUCCCCCUUCCCAACACCUGUAUGUGUGUGAGAGAGAGAAUUAGUGUCAGGUGAUUUUGGACCAUGCUGCAUGAGCUCACAUCCCCUUCCACCAAUUAAUUCUGCCCCCCAGCCUCCAACUCAAUCCUGUUCCCCCAGUCUCUAUAUUAGUUCUUCUGCCUGGCCCUGCCCCCUGUGCUCAAAUCGGCCCCAUGAGUCCCUCAGUAGUUCAGCAUUCCUAAUCUCACGACUGAUACUCCUAGGGCUUCACCAAGCCACGCAGAGGCUGUACCAAGAUUCCCUUCUGGUUUCCCUUUCUCCUGCUUUCCAGGGGCUCUUUACUCCCCCUUCCCAGUCCUGGUGUUGCAUGGAGGAAGAGGGAGCAGAGCCAUCCUGAGCUGCUGGGUUCUUUCUGCUCCCUCUUCCCCCUCCCCUCCUGUGACAAGAAUGGCUUCAGAUUGUUGAGGGGAUGUGGAAGGGGAGAGAGCUCUUUCUGCAGCAGCUCUGAGUGGUUGCUUUGCCCCUGGGGAGAGGCGAGUGAGACAGGCAGCCAAUCAGAGUGGGUUGUCCCCUCAGGCAGGGCUCAAAUUUGCUGGAGGGCUGGAGCUUGUCAUUAUGAGACAGAGUUCCAACCUGGCCAAAAUCUCAUCAUUUGCUAAAAAAAAAAAAAAAUCCACAAGAGUUGGCACUAUUGAAAGUACAAAAAGAGGCUUAGCACCAUCCGCUGCCUCAGUUCCUUCCAUCACCUCAAAUCAGGAUUUCAGGAAGACUCCUAGGAAAAGGAAAAAGUGCACAAGGAAAUUUGAGUAUACAGAGUCCACCUUAAAGAAUUCCAGUUACAAGUAAGGAAUCUUUAUUUAAUCUGUAAGUGCCUUCUGGAUAUUCCCACUCAUGGGACAAAUUGGCAAACAGUGCUCCAGCAACGGAAUAAAGAUUACAAUACUGCCCUAUCAAUUGUGUGUCAGCUCUGGACACAAGGUCCCACAUGACAGUCUCAUAAGUAAGCUGAAGAAAUGCGGUCUUGGUGGAACUACCAUUAAGGGGAUACAUAAUUGGUUAAACAACCACAAACAAAGUGUAACUAUUAAUGGCAUUAUGUCAGAGUGGAGGGAGUCUCAAGUGGGGUUCCACAGGGAUCUGUUCUGGGUCCAGUAUUGUUUAACAUCUUUAUUAAUGACCUGGAUGUAGGAAUAGAGCGCAUACUGAUCAAAUUUGACAGUGACCCAAAGCUAGGGGGCUGCCAAAACUUUGUGGAGGAUAGAGUUAAAAUUCAGAGUGAUCUUGAUAAACUGGAGAACUGGGCUAUAGCCAACAAAAUGAAAUUCAGCAAAGUCAAAUGUAAGGUGUUACACUUAGGGAAGAAAAAACAAAUGCACAAAUAUAGAAUGGGGGAUAACUGGCUUGGCAGCAGCACCGCUGAGAAGGAUCUGGGAGUUGUCGUGGAUCACCACCUCAACGUGAGUCAGCAAUGCGAUGUUG